UUCCCAUGGCCGUCGGGAAAGUAAGAACCCUCAGGGAUGAUGAGGUAGAUAGGAUGGAAGUGGAAGUGCCGUGAGGCAUGGAGCGGACCAUUACUAAUCGGUCGAGGACUUAACCAAG
rnacentral:rRNA from 1 species